GUGAACGCUGGCGGUAGGCCUAACACAUGCAAGUCGAACGGCAGCACAGUAAGAGCUUGCUCUUACGGGUGGCGAGUGGCGGACGGGUGAGGAAUACAUCGGAAUCUACUUUUUCGUGGGGGAUAACGUAGGGAAACUUACGCUAAUACCGCAUACGACCUACGGGUGAAAGCAGGGGAUCUUCGGACCUUGCGCGAUUGAAUUAGCCGAUGUCGGAUUAGCUAGUUGGCGGGGUAAAGGCCCACCAAGGCGACGAUCCGUAGCUGGUCUGAGAGGAUGAUCAGCCACACUGGAACUGAGACACGGUCCAGACUCCUACGGGAGGCAGCAGUGGGGAAUAUUGGACAAUGGGCGCAAGCCUGAUCCAGCCAUACCGCGUGGGUGAAGAAGGCCUUCGGGUUGUAAAGCCCUUUUGUUGGGAAAGAAAAGCAGCAGGUUAAUACCCCGCUGUUCUGACGGUACCCAAAGAAUAAGCACCGGCUAACUUCGUG
rnacentral:rRNA from 1 species